ensembl:lncRNA
AUUAUGGAGAGGUUCGUGGAGCUGUACAAAAUCAAGAGCGGCAUAGGAGGGCUAACUAGGCUCAUAAGAUGCUUCGGUGAUGAUAGCCCUACACAAAGGAAGAGGACAGAGGACCUCAUUUUCUAAAGGAAGAUCCCUCACACACUUUCAAGACUGUGAAGCCGACAGGUAUUGAAGACACGUUUUCUAGGAGGAUGAAAGUUGGCAUUGCGAUGGUGAAAGAAGAAGACAUCAUCGAUGUGUUGGUUGUCCUUGAGGCGGCAGUAAUCCUGUCUAAUCUGAGGAAUGUCUCAAGUGCCAUUUCCAUGCUGAUGGGCCUUCUUUUUGCCCUCAACAUAGACUAUCCAAAGGAACUUAAGGACAUCUUUGAAGUCAUUCAGAACAUCCUAAUGAACAUUGGUGGAAGGCAGUGCAUCUCACUAGUGCAUGGUCUAAGAAACAGACUCUUGCAGAAAGCCAUGCAGAACUGUAAUUGUAUGC